GGCCACGUGGCGAAGUGGUUAACGCGGGGGUCUGCAAAACCUCUAUGCAUCGGUUCAACUCCGAUCGUGGCCU
rnacentral:tRNA from 1 species